GCGGUGAAAUGCGUAGAUAUUAGGAGGAACACCGGAGGCGAAGGCGGCUCACUGGACUGUAACUGACACUGAGGCUCGAAAGCGUGGGGAGCAAACAGGGUUAGAUACCCUGGUAGUCCACGCGGUAAACGAUGAAUACUAGAUGUCGGGUAGCAAAGCUAUUCGGUGUCGUCGCAAACGCAAUAAGUAUUCCACCUGGGGAGUACGUUCGCAAGAAUGAAACUCAAAGGAAUUGACGGGGACCCGCACAAGCGGUGGAGCAUGUGGUUUAAUUCGAAGCAACGCGAAGAACCUUACCUGCUCUUGACAUCCCAUUCGAUAGAGGGUAAUGCCUCUAGCCCUUCGGGGGAAUGGAGACAGGUGGUGCAUGGUUGUCGUCAGCUCGUGUCGUGAGAUGUUGGGUUAAGUCCCGCAACGAGCGCAACCCUUAUUGUCAGUAGCCAGCAGGUCGCGCUGGGCACUCUGAUGGGACUGCCGGGGAUAACCCGGAGGAAGGUGGGGAUGACGUCAAAUCAUCAUGCCCCUUAUGAGCAGGGCUACACACGUGCUACAAUGGCGUAAACAGAGGGAAGCGAAGGAGUGAUCUGGAGCAAAUCUCAAAAAUAACGUCUCAGUUCGGAUUGUAGUCUGCAACUCGACUACAUGAAGUUGGAAUCGCUAGUAAUCGCAGAUCAGAAUGCUGCGGUGAAUACGUUCCCGGGUCUUGUACACACCGCCCGUCACACCAUGGGAGUCAGUAACGCC
rnacentral:rRNA from 1 species